CGAACGGGUGAGUAACACGUAGCUAACCUGCCCUUGAGUGGGGGAUAACCUGGGGAAACUCGGGCUAAUACCGCAUAACAUUCCGAUUUCACAAGAAGACGGAAACAAAGGCCCGCAAGGGUCACUCGAGGAGGGGGCUGCGGCCGAUUAGCUAGUUGGCGGGGUAAUGGCCCACCAAGGCGAUGAUCGGUAGCCGGCCUAAGAGGGCGCACGGCCACACUGGCACUGAAACACGGGCCAG
rnacentral:rRNA from 1 species